rnacentral:lncRNA from 10 species
AGGACCAUUUCCUAUAUCUUGAAAUACUCUUCUCCUUUGGCUUCCAUUCUUCUUGUUCUCAUCUCAUCCCAUCUGUUCAACAAUCCUUUUGAACUUCCUUUCUGGGUCCCUUCCCAUUUCCCAUUUUUUAGGUUCUAUUCUUGGUACUAUUCUCAUUUAUCCACCUGUAGAACAUUUAUGAAGUAUUUACUAUAUAGAAAAUUGGCUGUGCAUGGUGGCUCACGCCUGUAAUCCC